rnacentral:rRNA from 1 species
UACGUAGGGCGCAAGCGUUGUCCGGAAUUAUUGGGCGUAAAGAGCUCGUAGGCGGCUCAGUAAGUCAGGUGUGAAAACUCCAGGCUCAACCUGGAGACGCCACCUGAUACUGCUGUGGCUAGAGUCCGGUAGGGGAGCAUGGAAUUCCUGGUGUAGCGGUGAAAUGCGCAGAUAUCAGGAGGAACACCAGUGGCGAAGGCGGUGCUCUGGGCCGGAACUGACGCUGAGGAGCGAAAGCGUGGGGAGCAAACAGG